UGCGCCUCUAUUGUAAGUCUAUUGCUUUUUUGUUUCCGAAACAGAUUUCGCCUGGCUACAUGGCCUUCAGCUUAGCCACACACACAAACAAACAAAUUCCAUCAUUCAAUCUGUACAAAUGCUGACUUCCUUUCUGCUGUUGCUUCAUUUCCAAGACCAUUUCUCGUAGAAAUUUCCCAAAAUGGUGAUCUUCAGUUUGCCUAUUUCCCAAAGCUCCUCUCUGCCACAUUUUUUUGUAGAUUUGGGUUUACCCACGUGGAAUUGAGCUCAGCGACAUCGACAAUGAAGAAGAAAAUAAAUUUUGCCCCUUCGAAGAUGGGUUUUCUCACAAUAUAUAUAUAUAUAUAUAUCUGGUCGACGGAGUUGCUGUUGUCCUCUUCUUCCUAUCACUGUCAGUGUUUUUCUAACCGUAACAUUGUGAAAAUUGGGCAUCUAAAGCUCUGGUCCUGCAGUUGCAAAUCCUGGUGUCUAGGGUCUAAAAUUAUAAAACCAAACACUUUCAAGUUGAGGCACCACCGAUUUACAAUGACUUCUAAUUUAUUCUACUUCUAGCUUUGUGUUGAACUUCUAAGGUACAAAACGACCCAUUUUGUGUGUUGUCUCUAUUGCUCUUCAAUCAGGGAUGGGAAGAAGGCGAAGCGCUUAGGAAAGAGAAACAAGGGAUCAAAGGAUAUGUCAGGGUUAAGAACAAACAGGACAUUCCCUCUGAUUUUUGUUUAUUCAUCAAAUUCAUGCUCUAUUUUGUUGCCUAGAACAUAGAUUUUUUUUUUUUAUUUUAAAUUUUAAUUUUAAUUGUCUUAUGAAUCAAAUGAGCUAAUAAGGUAAACCUUGUUGUGGGAUGAAAUUUUUAUUUCUCAAUUUGUCGGUCUCUUUUCAGUUCAUUCUCUUUUGGGCACUGUUAAUGGUGUACUUGUUUGGUUCUACAUUUGAAGCUUUCUUUCAAUGUAGAGA